UACGGGGGGAGCAAGCGUUGUUCGGAUUUACUGGGCGUAAAGGGCGCGUAGGCGGCCACCGCAAGUCGACUGUGAAAUCUCCGGGCUUAACCCGGAAAGGUCAGCCGAUACUGCAGGGCUAGAGUGCAGAAGGGGCAACUGGAAUUCUCGGUGUAGCGGUGAAAUGCGUAGAUAUCGAGAGGAACACCUGCGGCGAAGGCGGGUUGCUGGGCUGACACUGACGCUGAGGCGCGAAAGCUAGGGGAGCGAACGGG
rnacentral:rRNA from 1 species